rnacentral:tRNA from 1 species
GCCACUGUAGCUCAGCGGUAGAGCAGCUGUUUCGUAAACAGCAGGUCACCGGUUCAAAUCCGGUCAGUGGCUCCA